rnacentral:rRNA from 1 species
AACGAACGCUGGCGGCAUGCCUAACACAUGCAAGUCGAACGAGACCUUCGGGUCUAGGGGCGCACGGGUGCGGAACACGUGGGAACCUGCCCGUAGGUUCGGAGUAACUGCCCGAAGGGGGUGCUAAUACCGGAGAAGGUCUUCGGGCCAAAGAGUUAUCGCCGUUGGCUGGGGGCGGGUAGGAUUAGCUGGUUGGUAGGGGAAAAGCCUACCAAUGCGACGAUGCAGAGCUGGUCUGAGAGGAUGAUCCGCCACGCUUGGACUGCGACACGGCCCAGACUCCUACGGGAGGCAGCAGUGGGGAAUAUUGGACAAUGGGCGCAAGCCUGAUCCCGCCAUGCCGCGUGAGUGAUGAAGGCCUUAGGGUUGUAAAGCUCUUUUACCCGGGAUGAUAAUGACAGUAACGGGUGAAUAAGCUCCGGCUAACUCCGUG